rnacentral:rRNA from 1 species
UACGGGGGGGGCAAGCGUUGUUCGGAAUUACUGGGCGUAAAGGGCUCGUAGGCGGCCAACUAAGUCAGACGUGAAAUCCCUCGGCUUAACCGGGGAACUGCGUCUGAUACUGGAUGGCUUGAGGUUGGGAGAGGGAUGCGGAAUUCCAGGUGUAGCGGUGAAAUGCGCAGAUAUCAGGAGGAACACCGGUGGCGAAGGCGGAUCUCUGGGCCUUGCCUGACGCUGAGGCGCGAAAGCUAGGGGAGCGAACAGG